UACGAAGGGGGCUAGCGUUGCUCGGAAUCACUGGGCGUAAAGGGUGCGUAGGCGGGUCUUUAAGUCAGGGGUGAAAUCCUGGAGCUCAACUCCAGAACUGCCUUUGAUACUGAAGAUCUUGAGUUCGGGAGAGGUGAGUGGAACUGCGAGUGUAGAGGUGAAAUUCGUAGAUAUCAGGAGGAACACCGGUGGCGAAAGCGGCUUCCUGGCCCGACAUUGACGCUCAUGUACGAAAGCGUGGGGAGCAAACAGG
rnacentral:rRNA from 1 species